rnacentral:rRNA from 1 species
GGACUACUGGGGUAUCUAAUCCUGUUUGCUCCCCACGCUUUCGCGCCUCAGCGUCAGUCUCGGUCCAGAGAGCCGCCUUCGCCACCGGUGUUCUUCCCAAUAUCUACGAAUUUCACCUCUACACUGGGAAUUCCACUCUCCUCUCCCGAACUCAAGCACCAGAGUCCCAAGCGCAAUUCCCAGGUUGAGCCCGGGGCUUUCACGCCUGACUUCCGGCGCCGCCUACGCGCCCUUUACGCCCAGUAAAUCCGAACAACGCUCGCCCCCUUCGUAUUACCGCGGCUGCUGGCAC